rnacentral:misc_RNA from 1 species
GUUAAUACAAUUAACCCAAGCAAUUGUAGCAUCAAUACCGCGCAAAUUGUUCAAAGCAGGGUUUUAAACAACGAAAUCAGAAUCAGUAUCGUAAUUGGAAACAGUGUUGUAGAAUUAGAUUUGAUUGGCCAACACAACUGUGAAUCUUUUCAAACCGAUACAAAAUGCCUUAAAUUAACAGUAAACCAAGAAUUAAAUAAAUAAGGCAGAUAUUAGGUCCAUAACACCUAAAGGAACAUUUUAUUUCAUAAUAUAACAU